CCAGCUCAGCAGACUGGGUCAGAGAAGCCUUCAUCGGAGCAGCCUGGGCCAAAGGCUCUAGCUCAGCCUCCUGGAGUUGGAAAGACUCCAGCUCAACAGCCAGGGCCAGCAAAGCCUCCAACCCAGCAGGUGGGGACACCAAAACCCCUAGCUCAACAACCUGGGCUACAGUCUCCAGCUAAGGCACCUGGGCCUACAAAGACUCCAGUUCAGCAGCCUGGGCCAGGAAAGAUUCCAGCUCAACAGGCAGGACCCGGAAAGACUUCUGCCCAGCAGACUGGCCCAACAAAGCCUCCUUCACAACUGCCUGGCCCAGCAAAGCUCCCACCUCAACAGCCUGGCCCAGCAAAGCCCCCACCUCAACAGCCUGGCUCAGCAAAGCCCCCACCUCAACAGCCUGGCUCAGCAAAGCCCCCACCUCAACAGCCUGGCUCAGCAAAGCCCCCACCUCAACAGCCUGGCUCAGCAAAACCCCCAUCUCAACAGCCUGGCUCAGCAAAACCCUCAGCUCAACAGCCUAGCCCAGCAAAGCCCUCGGCUCAGCAAUCUACAAAACCAGUAAGCCAAACAGGAUCUGGAAAACCUCUGCAGCCACCAACAGUGUCUCCAUCUGCAAAACAGCCUCCUUCACAAGACCUCCCUAAAACCAUCUGUCCUCUUUGCAAUACCACUGAACUUCUGUUGCAUGUUCCAGAAAAGGCCAAUUUUAACACAUGCACUGAGUGUCAAACCACUGUCUGUAGUCUCUGUGGUUUUAAUCCCAAUCCUCAUUUAACGGAGGUAAAAGAGUGGCUCUGUUUGAACUGUCAAAUGAAAAGAGCUCUAGGCGGGGAUCUGGCUCCAGUUCCGUCAUCACCCCAGCCCAAACUGAAGACUGCACCUGUUACCACUACAUCAGCAGUGAGCAAAUCAUCCCCACAGCCACAGCAGACUUCCCCAAAGAAGGAUGCUGCACCAAAACAGGAUCUCUCCAAGGCACCUGAGCCUAAAAAGCCACCACCACUAGUGAAACAACCAACCCUUCAUGGCUCUCCUUCAGCCAAGGCCAAGCAGCCCCCUGAGGCAGAUUCUUCAUCCAAGCCAGCCCCUCCCAAAGAACCUUCUGUCCCAUCUGAGCAGGACAAGGCCCCUGUUGCUGAUGAUAAACCAAAGCAGCCCAAGAUGGUAAAGCCAACCACAGACCUUGUAUCUUCAUCAUCAGCAACAACAAAACCUGAUAUUCCAAGCUCCAAAGUACAGUCACAAGCUGAAGAGAAAACAACCCCUCCUCUAAAAACAGACUCUGCCAAACCCUCACAGAGUUUUCCACCAACAGGGGAAAAAGUCACCCCAUUUGAUUCUAAAGCCAUACCUCGACCUGCAUCAGAUUCAAAAAUUAUUUCACAUCCUGGUCCCAGUUCAGAGAGCAAAGGUCAAAAACAAGUUGACCCUGUACAAAAGAAGGAAGAACCCAAGAAAGCACAAACCAAAAUGAGUCCUAAACCAGAUGCCAAGCCAAUGCCAAAAGGGUCACCAACACCCCCUGGCCCACGACCUACCGCUGGCCAAACUGUCCCCACACCUCAACAGUCCCCAAAGCCUCAGGAGCAGUCAAGACGUUUCAGUCUGAAUCUGGGAAGUAUUACUGAUGCCCCCAAAUCACAGCCUACAACUCCUCAAGAGACCGUGACUGGGAAACUCUUUGGGUUUGGAGCAUCAAUCUUCAGCCAGGCAUCAAAUUUAAUUUCCACUGCAGGCCAACCUGGACCUCAUUCACAAAGUGGACCAGGGGCCCCAAUGAAACAAGCCCCUGCCCCUUCACAGCCACCUACUUCACAAGGGCCACCCAAAUCCACAGGUCAAGCACCACCAGCACCUGCAAAAAGUAUACCUGUGAAAAAGGAAACAAAAGCCCCAGCAGCUGAAAAAUUAGAGCCCAAAGCUGAACAAGCUCCAACAGUAAAAAGAACAGAAACAGAAAAAAAGCCACCACCUAUUAAGGAUAGCAAAUCUUUAACAGCUGAGCCUCAAAAAGCUGUCCUUCCCACAAAACUGGAGAAAUCGCCCAAACCAGAAUCAACCUGUCCUCUCUGCAAAACUGAACUCAACAUAGGUUCUAAGGAUCCUCCUAACUUCAAUACUUGCACUGAAUGCAAGAAUCAAGUGUGUAAUCUCUGUGGAUUUAACCCUACACCACAUUUGACUGAGAGAUUCAAGAAUGGCUUUGUUUAAAUUGCCAAACCCAGAGAGCAAUAUCAGGACAGCUUGGAGACAUACACAAAAUGCCACCUGCACCAUCAGGACCCAAAGCAUCUCCUAUGCCUGUUCCUACAGAAUCAUCAUCUCAGAAAACAGCAGUGCCUCCCCAAGUAAAAUUAGUGAAAAAGCAAGAACAAGAAGUAAAAACGGAAGCUGAAAAAGUCAUUCUGGAAAAAGUAAAGGAAACACUAUCAAUGGAAAAAAUUCCUCCUAUGGUAACCACAGAUCAAAAACAAGAAGAGAGUAAACUAGAGAAAGACAAAGCUUCAGCUCUUCAAGAAAAAAAGCCACUCCCUGAAGAAAAAAAACUAAUCUCUGAAGAAGAAAAGAUACGUUCUGAAGAAAAAAAGCCACUCCUAGAAGAAAAAAAGCCAACCCCUGAAGACAAAAAGCUACUCCCAGAGGCAAAAACAUCAGCCCCAGAAGAACAAAAACAUGACUUACUUAAAUCUCAAGUACAAAUUGCUGAAGAAAAGCUUGAAGGCAGAGUGGCUCCAAAGACAGUGCAAGAAGGGAAACAACCACAGACCAAGAUGGAAGGUUUACCAUCUGGCACACCUCAGAGUUUACCUAAAGAAGAUGAUAAGACAACCAAAACAAUAAAAGAACAGCCACAGCCACCAUGUACAGCAAAACCUGAUCAGGUGGAACCUGGGAAAGAAAAAACAGAAAAGGAAGAUGACAAAUCAGACACCUCAAGUUCUCAGCAGCCUAAAAGCCCCCAAGGUCUGAGCGACACGGGAUAUUCUUCCGAUGGAAUAUCAAGCUCACUUGGUGAAAUUCCAAGUCUUAUUCCAACUGAUGAAAAGGAUAUUCUCAAGGGACUCAAAAAGGACUCUUUUUCACAAGAAAGCAGCCCUUCCAGCCCCUCAGAUUUGGCUAAGUUAGAAAGUACAGUCCUAUCUAUUUUGGAAGCUCAAGCAAGUACACUUGCUGAUGAAAAGUCAGAAAAGAAAACACAACCCCAUGAAGUUUCUCCUGAACAGCCUAAAGACCAAGAGAAAACUCAGAGUUUAUCUGAAACCUUGGAAAUUACUAUUUCAGAAGAGGAGAUCAAAGAGAGUCAAGAAGAAAGGAAAGACACUUUUAAAAAAGAUAGCCAACAAGAUAUUCCUUCCAGCAAGGACCAUAAAGAGAAGUCUGAGUUUG
rnacentral:lncRNA from 1 species